GUGGGGAAUAUUGCGCAAUGGCCGCAAGGCUGACGCAGCGACGCCGCGUGUGGGAUGAAGGCUUUCGGGUUGUAAACCACUGUCAGGAGGGACGAAUACUCGGCUUCUAAUAGGAGACCGAGGGCGACGGUACCUCCAAAGGAAGCGCCGGCUAACUCAGUGCCAGCAGCCGCGGUAAUACUGAGGGCGCGAGCGUUGUCCGGAAUCACUGGGCGUAAAGCGCACGUAGGCGGCUAGGUCAGUCACCUGUGAAAUCCCGGAGCUCAACUCCGGGCCUGCAAGUGAUACUGCCUAGCUGGAGCACGGUAGAGGCAAGUGGAAUUCCCGGUGUAGCGGUGGAAUGCGUAGAUCUCGGGAAGAACACCAGUGGCGAAGGCGGCUUGCUGGGCCGUUGCUGACGCUGAGGUGCGAAAGCGUGGGGAGCAAACAGG
rnacentral:rRNA from 1 species